rnacentral:lncRNA from 1 species
AUGGUUCACGACGAUAGAUCUCAAGGACGCAUACUUCCAUGUCCCGAUCCAUUCGGGGCACAGGAAGUACCUGUGGUUUUCUUUCCUCGGGAGGGUGUACCAGUUUCUGGUUCUGCCGUUCGGCUUGUCUCUCGCCCCCCGAGUUUUCACGCGGUGCGUGAAGGCAGCCCCGAGCCCCCUGUGUCGGGUGGAGUUGAAGGUCCUGCCAUAUCUCGACAACUGGCUCGUCUGUGCGCCGUUGUGUCACGAAGUGGGUCUGGUCACGGCCAGUGUCCUUGCCCAUGUCAAGGUGCUGGAACUGACGGUGGACUUGCAGAAGGGUUCUCUGGCUCCGACUCAGCGGGUGGAUUUUAUUGGCAUUGCCAUAGAUUCUGUGGCCAUGCAGGCGAGGCUGACCGAGCAGAGGAGGGUCCGGAUUCGGUCUUUGCUCCAGGCCUUUUGCCUUGGGGAAGCAACCCCGGUCCAGGUGUGGCUACAACUGUUGGGGAUGCUGGUCUCGGCUUCUGCACUGGUGCCUCUCGGGUUGCUCCACCUUCGGCCCUUGCAGAAGUGGUUCAUCGGCUUCCUCCUGGAUCCCCGGUGUCACCGACGGGUCGAGCUGGAGGUCACGAGCAGCUGUGUGGCUCCUUUGCGUCGUUGGGACUAUGUCGCCUACAUGAGUCUCGGUGUCCCGCUUGGUGCGGUCCCCGCCAGACGGGAGGUGGUCACGACAGAUGCGUCACCCCGGGGGGGGGGGGGGGGGGUCAUUGGAAGUGCAGGUCGGUCCGGGGGUUGUGGAGCCCCCGUCAGGAACGGCUUCACAUCAAUGUCCUGGAAUUGAAGACCGUCUACUUGGCGCUGAGGCUCUUCUUGCCCUUUCUGUGGGGCAAGCAUGUGCUCGUCCGGACGGACAGCACCUCGGCGGUGUUCCAUAUAAACCAUCAGGGGGGCACCAGGUCAUUGCGAUUAUUGAGGGAGGCUCAGACGCUGUUGACCUGGGCUUACCCUCACUUGGCCUCCAUCAGGGCGCUGCACCUUCCGGGGUGGAGGAACUCUAUGGCGGAUUGCCUGUCUCGGCGGGGCCUUCCCCCUGGGGAAUGGAGGUUGCACCCUCAGGUGGUGCAGAGGGUGUGGCGUCAGUUCAGAGAGGCCCAGGUGGAUCUGGUCACCUCGAGGAGCAGCACGCAUGGCUCCUUGUGA